UAAUCAUUAUUAUAAUAGUACCUUUAAGUUAAACAUCGUCAGAUAAUAUGACAGCUAAAAUAAGUACACGAUCGAUGCAUACUUAAAUCUAAGUAAAUUUCGAAAAAAUGUCGAUUGGCCCAAAUAGACUUUCCACCAUCUACUCUGUGAUUCCUCUAGAAACUCGAUAUCUACAAGUAGAUAAAAUUAAUUAUAUCUUAUCUGUACCGAAUUGCGAUACCCCGCAGUUUUGAUUCGAAAUAGGAAUAUCAUCAGCCAGAUUUGCGAUAUCAACCGGAACUCCUGUAUGAACAUUAUAGAUAAAUAUUACGUCGUCUACGAAGAACACGUUGAUUGGGGGUUUGAUUAUCAUGAAAUUAAAUAAAACAAACAACGCGUGUGGUGCAGGCGUUGCAGACGUCCAUAGGAUGCAGUGACCUCUUCCUAUCAGAUCCACUAAACUGCUCUCAGAGUCUCAACAUCGACGGAGCUGGUACCACCUCCUCUACUUUCGACUAUUAUCCUCUAUACCAUCAUACUCAGCCUAGUACUGACCGAACCAUCCAAGUCCUUCAGAUGUUAUGAAUCUCUAUUCUACCUAUAUCGGCUAUCAACUGGCUCCAAAAUUUAACACCGGCCUGAUUCAUCCCAUAUGAGCGGAAACUCAAUAAGAAUGACUUCAACAUCAUCAGUGGUAAAAAACGUUGUUCGACUGGCGUCAUUUCCGAACGACUGCGUCUCCAAUAUACAAUGAUUCCGUGCCCCUUAUUGUGGCUGGGGAGAAUUCCUGUGGUUGAUGCCAGCUACACGCUAUCGACACUAAUGAAAGAAAGUAUUUUAGAACACAUUGCGUAGUUUGCGUGUUCAAUCAACAACCAUUAAUGUAUGUCGAUAUCGUAAAAAUUUGGCGAACUGUUUGC